rnacentral:rRNA from 1 species
CUCUCGGCAAUGGAUAUCUCGGCUCUUGCAUCGAUGAAGAACGUAGUGAAAUGCGAUACUUGGUGUGAAUUGCAGAAUCUCGUGAACCAUUGAGUCUUUGAACGCAAGUUGUGCCCGAGGCCUUGUGGCCGAGGGCACGCCUGCUUGGGGGUCAUGGC